rnacentral:rRNA from 1 species
AUUGAACGCUGGCGGCAGGCCUAACACAUGCAAGUCGAACGAGUGGCGGACGGGUGAGUAAUGUCUGGGAAACUGCCCGAUGGAGGGGGAUAACUACUGGAAACGGUAGCUAAUACCGCAUACCAUCGGCUGUGCCCAGAUGGGAUUAGCUUGUAGGUGAGGUAACGGCUCACCUAGGCGACGAUCCCUAGCUGGUCUGAGAGGUUGGCCAGCCAGAGUGAGUAUGAGGCACGGUCCAGACUCCUAAGGGAGGACGCAGUGGGGAAUAUUGCACAUGGGGUGCAACCCUGAUGCGGCCAUUCCGCGUGUAGGGGGAAGGCCUUCGGGUUGUACAGUACUUUCCGUGUGGAGGCGUUAGCCGCAGAAUAAGCACCGGCUAAGUCCGUACCAGCAGCCGCGGUAAUAC